CAGGGCAGCUCCGCAGCAGGCCAGAGGCGCUCGGCCCCUCCCCAGCUCCCCAGCUUCGGGCAGGUGAGGGCCUCCGGGAGCGGAGCCCAGGCCGGGAGAGAACUUGGAACAAGGUUGCCCUCUGCCGGCGGGCCUGCGAAACGGGCGCUCGCGGAGGAGGGCGGGGACCCGCGCCACAGCAACAGCGCCCCCGCGGCAGCGCCCCCCCAGCAGCAGCGCCCCCCGGCAGCAGCGCCCCCGCAGCAGCAGCGCCCCCCCGGCAGCAGCGCCCCCCCAGCAGCAGCGCCCCCCGGCAGCAGCGCCCCCCCGGCAGCAGCAGCGCCCCCCCGGCAGCAGCGCCCCCCGGCAGCAGCGCCCCCCCAGCAGCAGCGCCCCCCGGCAGCAGCGCCCCCCCAGCAGCAGCGCCCCCCGGCAGCAGCGCCCCCCGGCAGCAGCGCCCCCCGGCAGCAGCGCCCCCCCGGCAGCAGCAGCGCCCCCCCGGCAGCAGCGCCCCCCCGGCAGCAGCGCCCCCCGGCAGCAGCGCCCCCCCAGCAGCAGCGCCCCCCGGCAGCAGCGCCCCCCCCGGCAGCAGCAGCGCCCCCCCGGCAGCAGCGCCCCCCCGGCAGCAGCGCCCCCGGCAGCAGCGCCCCCGCAGCAGCAGCGCCCCCCCGGCAGCAGCGCCCCCCCAGCAGCAGCGCCCCCCCCGCAGCAGCGCCCCCCCGCAGCAGCGCCCCCGCAGCAGCAGCGCCCCCCCGGCAGCAGCGCCCCCCCGGCAGCAGCGCCCCCCGGCAGCAGCGCCCCCCCGGCAGCAGCGCCCCCCGGCAGCAGCGCCCCCCCGGCAGCAGCGCCCCCCCGGCAGCAGCGCCCCCCGGCAGCAGCGCCCCCGCAGCAGCAGCGCCCCCCCGGCAGCAGCGCCCCCCCGGCAGCAGCGCCCCCCCGGCAGCAGCGCCCCCUGCAGCAGCGCCCCCCGCCCGCCCUAACUUCUCCGCCUGCGGCGCCGCACAAGUAGCGGGACAGACCCCGCGGGUCCCACCGGGCCGGGUAACAGGCCGUCCGGGCCGGUGCGACCGUACCUUGAGGCACCGAACUCCCGGCUUAGACUUCGCCGACUUCCAGCGACGCGGCCGCUCGGGCCUCGCGGGGGCCGGGCUCCGGGGAGCGGACGCCGGCCACGGGCGGAUCCCAGGUGGGGCCCGGGCAGCGCUGUCUGGGUGUCGGGGCGUCAGCGACCGGCCGCCCCCGGCACCGCCCGACCCGUACCGUCGGGCCACCCGGCCAGGGGGGCCGCGUCGGAGCAGCGGGGGAGGCGGGGGGCGAGCCGGGGUCCCCGCCCCGGAGCCGGGCGCUGGCCCCGGUGCUGCUGCGGGAGCAGCCCCCUCGGGUCUUGGGCGAGCACAGGGAGGCGCGGGGGACCGGGCGGAAUUGGGGGGUGAGACGGCCGGUUCCGGGGUCGAGGCCUCUGGGACGCACAGCCCCCCCGCCAGGCCGAGGCCGAGGCCGGGAAGACCCGCGUGCGGAGGGGAACGGAGGGGGACGGCGGGGGACGGAGGGGGACGGCGGGGGACGGAGGGGGACGGAGGGGGUCGG
rnacentral:lncRNA from 1 species